rnacentral:rRNA from 1 species
UGGGGAAUAUUGCACAAUGGGCGCAAGCCUGAUGCAGCGACGCCGCGUGAGGGAUGGAGGCCUUCGGGUUGUAAACCUCUUUCGCCAGUGAAGCAGGCCAUCUUCUUUGUGGGGUGGUUGACGGUAGCUGGAUAAGAAGCGCCGGCUAACUACGUGCCAGCAGCCGCGGUAAUACGUAGGGCGCGAGCGUUGUCCGGAAUUAUUGGGCGUAAAGAGCUCGUAGGCGGCUGGUCGCGUCUGUCGUGAAAUCCCCUGGCUUACCUGGGGGCUUGCGGUGGGUACGGGCCGGCUUGAGUGCGGUAGGGGAGACUGGAAUUCCUGGUGUAGCGGUGGAAUGCGCAGAUAUCAGGAGGAACACCGGUGGCGAAGGCGGGUCUCUGGGCCGUUACUGACGCUGAGGAGCGAAAGCGUGGGGAGCGAACAGG